GUUGGGAAAGUACAUCGUUUUUUGGCGCACACAGUUUCAGUUUCUUUUUAAUAAAUGAAGUGCUGUUUGCCGAUUUGGGGAACCGCGGGUAAUACGGACAGUGGAGAUAAUAUGGACAGUUUCGAACACACCCCGUAAAAAGCCAUUUUUUAAAAUACAUUCUGUUGGUAUUGUAUCUAGAAUUUACAAGUUAAACACGGAACCACCCUAGCGGACCCAACCGCUAUCGGAACCACUCCAACAUCACCCAGGGAGUCUAACGGCGGAACAGCAUGGUCAGCGAUAUCGGA